CACAUACGGUAGAAAUUCCGUAACCACCGAACAUUUAAGCUAGAGGGACGCUUUCUUUAAGGUUAUCCCGGGCGAUGGUUGCCCCGGGCGUAAGGGACCGAAAUUUAGUAGGGAAGUAACUGGCGAGAGAGACGAGAAAAGCUCUAGUGUAUACUAAGGUGCCCGUACCGCAAACCGACACAGGUAGAUGGGAUGAGUAUUCUAAGGCCAACGGGAGAAGGGUUGUUAAGGAACUCGGCAAAUUGGCCCCGUAACUUCGGGAUAAGGGGCGCCUGCGAGAGCAGGCCGCAGUGAAAAGGCCCAAGCGACUGUUUAGCAAAAACACAGCUCUCUGCUAAAUCGAAAGAUGACGUAUAGGGGGUGACGCCUGCCCGGUGCUGGAAGGUUAAGGGGAGUGCUUAGCGCAAGCGAAGGUGCGAACUUAAGCCCCAGUAAACGGCGGCCGUAACUAUAACGGUCCUAAGGUAGCGAAAUUCCUUGUCAGGUAAGUUCUGACCCGCACGAAUGGCGUAACGAUUUGGGCACUGUCUCAACAGCCCGCCCGGCGAAAUUGUAGUACCGGUGAAGAUGCCGGUUUCCCGCAACUAGACGGAAAGACCCCAUGGAGCUUCACUGUAGCUUGAUAUUGGAUCUCGGUAUUCCAUGUACAGGAUAGGUGGGAGGCUAGGAAGCGAGCGCGCCAGCGUUCGUGGAGCCAACCUUGGGAUACCACUCUUGGGAUAUUGGGAUUCUAACCUGCGACCAUGAAUCUGGUCGGGGGACACUGUCAGGUGGGCAGUUUGACUGGGGCGGUCGCCUCCAAAAGAGUAACGGAGGCGCUCAAAGGUUCGUUCAGCACGGACGGAAAUCGUGCACUGAGUGUAAACGCAUAAACGAGCCUAACUGCGAGAAUGACGGUUCGAGCAGUAACGAAAGUUGGAGUUAGUGAUCCGGCGGUAUGUGAAUGGAAAUGCCGUCGCUCAACGGAUAAAAGCUACCCUGGGGAUAACAGGCUGAUCUCCCCCAAGAGUCCACAUCGACGGGGAGGUUUGGCACCUCGAUGUCGGCUCAUCGCAUCCUGGGGCUGAAUUCGGUCCCAAGGGUUUGGCUGUUCGCCAAUUAAAGCGGUACGCGAGCUGGGUUCAGAACGUCGUGAGACAGUUCGGUCCCUAUCUGUUGCGGGCGCAGGAAUAUUGAGAGGAGCUGUCCUUAGUACGAGAGGACCGGGAUGGACGUACCGCUGGUGCACCAGUUGUUCUGCCAAGGGCAUAGCUGGGUAGCUAAGUACGGACGAGAUAAACGCUGAAGGCAUCUAAGCGUGAAACUCCCCUCGAGAUAAGUGUUCCCAUCCUUCGGGAGUAAGGCCCCUUGUAGACUACAAGGUUGAUAGGUCAGGAGUGGAAGUGCAGUAAUGUAUGGAGCGGACUGAUACUAAUAGGCCGAGGGCUUGACCU
rnacentral:rRNA from 1 species